rnacentral:rRNA from 1 species
CAGCCGUAAACUAUGCUCGCUAGGUGUCAGGCAUGGCGCGACCGUGUCUGGUGCCGCAGGGAAGCCGUGAAGCGAGCCACCUGGGAAGUACGGCCGCAAGGCUGAAACUUAAAGGAAUUGGCGGGGGAGCACAACAACGGGUGGAGCCUGCGGUUUAAUUGGACUCAACGCCGGGAAGCUCACCGGAUAGGACAGCGGAAUGAUUGCCGGGCUGAAGACCCUGCAUGACUAGCUGAGAGGUGGUGCAUGGCGUAGACGUCU